rnacentral:rRNA from 1 species
GAUGAACGCUAGCUACAGGCUUAACACAUGCAAGUCGAGGGGUAACGAGAGGAAAGCUUGCUUUCCUUGUCGACGACCGGCGCACGGGUGAGUAACGCGUAUCCAACCUGCCCCCAACUAGGGAAUAACCUUGCGAAAGUAAGACUAAUACCCUAUAAUUUCCUCAGAUGUCAUCUGACGAGGAAUAAAGAUUUAUCGGUUGUGGAUGGGGAUGCGUAUGAUUAGCUUGUUGGCGGGGCAACGGACCACCAAGGCAACGAGCAGUAGGGGUUCGGAGAAGAAGGUCCCCCACAUUGGAACUGAGACACGGUCCAAACUCCUACGGGAGGCAGCAGUGAGGAAUAUUGGUCAAUGGGCGGAAGCCUGAACCAGCCAAGUAGCGUGCAGGAUGACGGCCCUAUGGGUUGUAAACUGCUUUUAUACAGGAAUAAAGUUAGCCACGUGUGGUUAUUUGUAGGUACUGUAUGAAUAAGGACCGGCUAAUUCCGUGCCAGCCGCCGCCGUAA